GACGUAGGGCGCGAGCGUUGUCCGGAUUUAUUGGGCGUAAAGAGCUCGUAGGCGGCUUGUCGCGUCGACUGUGAAAUCCCGCGGCUCAACUGCGGGUCUGCAGUCGAUACGGGCAGGCUAGAGUUCGGUAGGGGAGACUGGAAUUCCUGGUGUAGCGGUGAAAUGCGUAGAUAUCAGGAGGAAUACCGAUGGCGAAGGCAGGUCUCUGGGCUGACACUGACGCUCAUGCACGAAAGCGUGGGGAGCAAACAGG
rnacentral:rRNA from 1 species